rnacentral:rRNA from 1 species
UUGGUUGCUUGCAACCGAUGAUGACGACCGGCGCACGGGUGAGUAACGCGUAUCCAACUUGGCUUAUACUUAGGGAUAACCCGUUGAAAGACGGCCUAAUACCUAAUAGUUUAUAAUAGUUGCAUGACUUUUAUAAUAAAGAUUUAUCGGUAUAAGAUAGGGAUGCGUCUGAUUAGUUAGUUGGUGAGGUAACGGCUCACCAAGGCAUCGAUCAGUAGGGGUUCUGAGAGGAAGGUCCCCCACAUUGGAACUGAGACACGGUCCAAACUCCUACGGGAGGCAGCAGUGAGGAAUAUUGGUCAAUGGACGUAAGUCUGAACCAGCCAGGUAGCGUGCAGGAUGACGGCCCUAUGGGUUGUAAACUGCUUUUAUGUGAGAAUAAAGUUAACUACGUGUAGUUAUUUGCAUGUAUCACAUGAAUAAGGACCGGCUAAUUCCGUGCCAGCAGCCGCGGUAAUACGGAAGGUCCAGGCGUUAUCCGGAUUUAUUGGGUUUAAAGGGAGCGUAGGCCGUUUGAUAAGCGUGCUGUGAAAU